UGCAUUGUUGUAAAAAUGAUUACAUAUUUAGCCUGAUACUCUUAUUCAGCAGCUUGCUAAUUUGUGCUAUGUGAUAUAGCUGUUUGAAUAAUACUUUCUCCUCAAGUAUCCCUCAAACUUUCUUUUGUAUUAAAUGGGUUUAUUUAACCCCUAGGCUACCAGAAUGAGAUGAUUCAGAGGGUUAAUGAUCUGGAAUAAACAAGUACUCACAGAAUGCUGAAAUAUUGUAACACAAGACGACCAGAUGAGGAGAAUCUAACAGAUAACACAGCAGUGAGAGGGAGAUACAGCAUGUCGCCAGAUUGCAGAGGAUCACCUGCACUGGACAAAGUGGUAUAUCUGGGAACCAAGAUGUAACUGUGGAAAGAUAUGAAAAGACAAAGAAAAACUGUGUAAGAUCCUCUAGUGAGAACAUCUUUUAUAGCCUGCUGUUUAUGGUAACUACAGGAAAGGUCUAGCAACGCAUUCUUAUGUGUAUAACACUCACUGAACAAGAGGUUAAAGCACC